rnacentral:rRNA from 1 species
UACAGAGGUCCCAAGCGUUUUUCGGAUUCAUUGGGCGUAAAGGGUGCGUAGGCGGUGCCGUAAGUCGGGUGUGAAAUCCCGGGGCUCAACCCCGGAACUGCACUCGAUACUGCGGUGCUUGAGGACUGGAGAGGAGACUGGAAUUCACGGUGUAGCAGUGAAAUGCGUAGAUAUCGUGAGGAAGGCCAGUGGCGAAGGCGGGUCUCUGGACAGUUCCUGACGCUGAGGCACGAAGGCCAGGGGAGCAAACGGG